rnacentral:rRNA from 1 species
CACGUAGUUAGCCGUGGCUUUCUGGUGAGGUACCGUCAAGGUGCCAGUAGUUACCUGGCACUUGUUCUUCCCUCACAACAGAGUUUUACGAUCCGAGAACCUUCUUCACUCACGCGGCGUUGCUCCGUCAGACUUUCGUCCAUUGCGGAAGAUUCCCUACUGCUGCCUCCCGUAGGAGUCUGGGCCGUGUCUCAGUCCCAGUGUGGCCGAUCACCCUCUCAGGUCGGCUACGCAUCGUGGCCUUGGUGAGCCGUUACCCCACCAACUAGCUAAUGCGCCGCGGGCCCAUCCUGCAGUGACAGCCGAAACCGUCUUUCCGGUAUUCCACCAGGAGGUGGAAUAAACUAUCCGGUAUUAGCACCGGUUUCCCGGAGUUAUCCCGAUCUGCAGGGCAGGUUGCCCACGUGUUACUCACCCGUCCGCCGCUGAAAAUUUGGAGCAAGCUCCAAAUUCUCCGCUCGACUUGCAUGUAUUAGGCACGCCGCCAGCGUUCGUCCUGAGCCAGGAUCAAACU